rnacentral:rRNA from 1 species
CCUACGGGAGGCUGCAGUGGGGGAUAUUGGACAAUGGGGGAAACCCUGAUCCAGCGACGCCGCGUGAGUGAAGAAGUAUUUCGGUAUGUAAAGCUCUAUCAGCAGGGAAGAAAGAAAUGACGGUACCUGAGUAAGAAGCCCCGGCUAACUACGUGCCAGCAGCCGCUGUAAUACGUAGGGGGCAAGCGUUAUCCGGAAUUACUGGGUGUAAAGGGAGCGUAGACGGUAAUGCAAGUCUGGAGUGAAAGGCGGGGGGCCAACCCCCGGACUGCUCUGGAAACUGUGUAACUGGAGUGCAGGAGAGGCAGGCGGAAUUCCUGGUGUAGCGGUGAAAUGCGUAGAGAUUAGGAGGAACACCAGUGGCGAAGGCAGCUUACUAAACUGUGACUGACAUUGAUGCUCGAAAGUGUGGGUAUCAAACAGGAUUAGAUACCCCGGUAGUC